GACGAACGCUGGCGGCGUGCUUAACACAUGCCAGUCGAACGGAAAGGCCCUGCUUUUGUGGGGUGCUCGAGUGGCGAACGGGUGAGUAACACGUGAGUAACCUGCCCUUGACUUUGGGAUAACUUCAGGAAACUGGGGCUAAUACCGGAUAGGAGCUCCUGCUGCAUGGUGGGGGUUGAAAAGUUUCGGCGGUUGGGCAUGGACUCGCGGCUUAUCAGCUUGUUGGUGGGGUAGUGGCUUACCAAGGCAUUGACGGGUAGCCGGCCUGAGAGGGUGACCGGACACAUUGGGGCUGAGAUACGACCCAGACUCCUGCGGGAGACAGCAGUGGGGAAUAUUGCACAAUGGGCUGAAGCCGUAUGCAGCAACGCCGCGUGCGGGAUGACGGCCUUCGGGUUGUAAACCGCUUUCGCCUGUGACGAAGCGUGAGUGACGGUAAUGGGUAAAGAAGCACCGGCUAACUACGUG
rnacentral:rRNA from 1 species